GUGAAUCAUCGAAUUUUUGAACGCAAAUUGCGCUUCCUGGCAUUCCGGGGAGUAUGCCUGUUUGAGGGUCAGUAUUAAUAAAAAUCGGUGUGGUUACUAAUUGUGGCGGUUCCGGAGUUUGUGCUAUCUUAACUUUUUUGGUUAAGAGGCUUAAAAUUGACCUUUUUUGUGCAUUUUUAUAUGUACAUAAAUUUUUUUUAUUCUUCUAUUCUUAAUGCCAAAAUCUUAUUAGAUGCGAUCACAUCGUGUGGCUUCGUGACCAUAAA
rnacentral:misc_RNA from 1 species